CAGUGAGGCUUUGAUAUCCUGGGGAUGUAAAGGAGAUUGGUUAAAUUUAUGAGUGAAAUGUAUGAAUCCUCUAAAAUUUGCCUCAACCUCCUAAACAUUCACAGGCCAAACCAGCAAAUCUACU
rnacentral:precursor_RNA from 11 species